rnacentral:lncRNA from 1 species
CUUCUCCGCGUGAAGACGGCCGAACCUCCCUGGUGUCUGCAGAGCUCUCGCUUUGUCCCCGGCCAGCAGCGGGCUCAGCCCGGUGUUAGCCGCCGGCCACUCUCACAGGUGUGCGGUGGGGCCUCGGCGGCCGUUGUCACCUGCAGCUCUCACAGUUCCCUCACACCCGGAAGCUGGGCUCCAGAAGCAAGCACCCGAGAGCAGGCAGCGGUGUGUGGUGAAUGGCCUGUGCUCAGAGGUCGCAGAGCAUCGCCCUCAGCUGCCUCCUCUGGGAGCACAGUCGCAGUAGCUGUGUGUGCAGAAGAACAGUGUUGCCCCCGCCCCAGCAACAGGCGGUCAGCGUCCCACUACGAGCACAUGGACGGGGCAGCGAGCUCUGGCGGCUCUGACAGGGCCAUCUGCUGGUCUCCUGGCCACAAGAAUUUACGUCUCUCCUUGCACAAAAUAAACUCAAACCCCUCUUCUGAGUGCCUCGCAUCUGUGACCACUGAGGCAUUAGCACGCGGUCUGGGAUCUCCUGGGCGUCAGGAGUUGCUGGGAUCUAGAGGGACAAGGUACAUGACGCCCGUCCACACAGUGGCCAAGUGGGGUGCAGAGGUGGCUGUGGCAAGCCCUGCUGACCCCCUGACGUCCCUUCCUUUCCUGAAGUGAGGUCAGUCUUCUCCGCCGAGCAGCUUUGCCAGACUACUUUCUACCUGUAGAAGUUUGGGGCCUCCGUGACUCUUUAUGUUGUGCUCUGUGUUCCUUCUUUCAGUCCAACCAAUGUAAUUUUUAAAACUGUGAGAUUUUUCAGAUUGAUUCUCAGUCUACACUAUUAGACAAAAACC